CGUCAGCUCGUGUCGUGAGAUGUUGGGUUAAGUCCCGCAACGAGCGCAACCCCUAUUGUAUGUUGCUACCAUUAAAGUUGAGGACUCAUACGAGACUGCCGGUGACAAACCGGAGGAAGGUGGGAUGACGUCAAGUCAUCAUGCCCCUUAUGAUCUGGGCUACACACGUGCUACAAUGGGGCAUACAGAGGGUCGCGAAGCCGCGAGGUGGAGCCAAUCCCAAAAAGUGCCUCUCAGUUCGGAUUGCAGGCUGCAACUCGCCUGCAUGAAGUCGGAAUCGCUAGUAAUCGCAGGUCAGCAUACUGCGGUGAAUACGUUCCCGGGUCUU
rnacentral:rRNA from 2 species